AGAGAGAGACAUGCGCGCAUAUCAAUAAGCGGAGGAAAAGAAACUAACAAGGAUUCCCUUAGUAACGGCGAGUGAAGCGGGAAGAGCUCAAAUUUGAAAUCUCAAGGGUUCUACCUUUACGAAUUGUAGUUUAUAGAAGUGUUUUCUGUUAGUGGAGUGGCAAAAGUUCUUUGGAAUAGGACAUCAUAGAGGGUGAGAAUCCCGUAUUUGGUCAUUCCUCCUAGCGUUGUGAUACACUUUCAACGAGUCGGACUGUUUGGGAAUGCAGUCCAAAAUGGGUGGUAAAUUUCAUCUAAAGCUAAAUAUUGGCGAGAGACCGAUAGCGAACAAGUACCGUGAGGGAAAGAUGAAAAGAACUUUGAAAAGAGAGUUAAACAGUACGUGAAAUUGUCAAAAGGGAAGCGUUUGACACCAGUGUUGUUUUUCCGAAAAUCAAUUACGAAUGUUUUAUUUUUGAGGAGUUAUGACUUCAUCGGCUUGCUCCUUUCUUUACUGAAACUUUCUUAAUGCACUUUUCGGUUAACAAGUCAACAUCAAUUUCUUUUGUUGUAAAAGGGUAUGAGGAAGGUGGCUUUCUUUUCGGAGAAAGUGUUUAUAGCCUCGUGCCUCUGCAAUCGGAGAGAUUGAGGUCUGCAGCGUAGAUCCUUCGGGGUUAGAUACAUUUGUGCUAAGUUAUAGCUUUUCAUAGACAACUUGUUGACUAUGUUUAGUCUUGUAGCUUACUCGCUUAUGCUAUUUUACCUACGCUUAGGAUGUUGAUAGUCACAGCGUGUAC
rnacentral:rRNA from 1 species